UACGGAGGGGGCUAGCGUUGCUCGGAAUCACUGGGCGUAAAGGGUGCGUAGGCGGGUCUUUAAGUCAGGGGGGAAAUCCUGGAGCUCAACUCCAGAACUGCCUUUGAUACUGAGGGUCUUGAGUUCGGGAGAGGUGAGUGGAACUGCGAGUGUAGAGGUGAAAUUCGUAGAUAUUCGCAAGAACACCAGUGGCGAAGGCGGCUCACUGGCCCGAUACUGACGCUGAGGCACGAAAGCGUGGGGAGCAAACAGG
rnacentral:rRNA from 1 species